CGGCCGAAGGUGGGAUUAGUGAUUGGGGUGAAGUCGUAACAAGGUAGCCGUAGGAGAACCUGCGGCUGGAUCACCUCCUUUCUAAGGAGUA
rnacentral:rRNA from 1 species